UGGGCAACCUGCCCCCGACCCUGGGAUAACCCCGGGAAACCGGAGCUAAUACCGGAUACUCUCCUCUGACCACCUGGUCGGAUGAGGAAAGGUCCGCCGGUCGGGGAUGGGCCCGCGGCCUAUCAGCUUGUUGGUGGGGUAACGGCCUACCAAGGCAUCGACGGGUAGCUGGUCUGAGAGGAUGACCAGCCACACUGGGACUGAGACACGGCCCAGACUCCUACGGGAGGCA
rnacentral:rRNA from 1 species